rnacentral:ncRNA from 1 species
UGAUCAUCAAUGACCAGGAAGAGUAAACAUAUGCAGGAAGCUGCAGCGAGCCAAUGACAGUGAGAGUUUGGCGCCGUCCGGUAUGUUGAAUGGGCCUGGGAGAUACAGUUCUGAGCCGCGUUGGCGGGGUAGGAGCUGUCGGGGUUCUUCCGCCGUUACCAGGAAGCGGGUAUCGGAUGUUUUAUCCUGUACUUUGAUAAGCCGGGUCAUGUUAAUCAUGGCCAACGAGGGUGGCACCGCGGGUUAUUCCCCGUCCCUUGA